rfam:Ixodes scapularis strain Wikel colony gcontig_1108378263522, whole genome shotgun sequence.
UCCUGGUUAGCUCAGUUGGUAGAGCGCUCCACUGGAAAUGGAGAGGUAUCUGGUUCGAUAACAAGACCAGGCG